UACGUAGGGGGCGAGCGUUGUCCGGAUUUAUUGGGCGUAAAGCGUCCGCAGGCGGUCAAGUAAGUUCGAGGUGACAGUGCGUGGCUUAACCGCGCAAGGUCCUUGAAAACUGCUCGACUUGAGGGCUUGAGAGGGACCCGGAAUUCCGGGUGGAGUGGUGAAAUGCGUAGAGAUCCGGAGGAACACCAAAGGCGCAGGCAGGGUCCUGGCAAGCCACUGAGCGCUCAUGGACGAAAGCUAGGGGAGCGAACGGG
rnacentral:rRNA from 1 species